GUCGGGUACGGUGGUGCACACUUGUAAUCCCAGCAGCUUGGGAGGCUGAGGCAGGAGGAUUGCAAGUUCAAAGCCAGCGUCAGCAACUUAGCAAGGACCUAAGUAAUUCAGUGAGACCCUGUCUCUA
rnacentral:sRNA from 1 species